UCAUCAUUUUUGAAGCAAUUAGCUUGCUAAGGGUGGAAAUGUUGGUGACUUAGUGGCGGACGGGCGAGUAACGCGUGGGUAACCUGCCAUAUACAGGGGGAUAACACUUAGAAAUAGGUGCUAAUACCGCAUAAGCGCACAGGACCGCAUGGUCUGGAGUGAAAAACAUUAGUGGUAUAUGAUGGACCCGCGUCUGAUUAGCUGGUUGGUGAGGUAACGGCCCACCAAGGCGACGAUCAGUAGCCGGCCUGAGAGGGUGGACGGCCACAUUGGGACUGAGACACGGCCCAAACUCCUACGGGAGGCAGCAGUGGGGGAUAUUGGACAAUGGGGGGAACCCUGAUCCAGCGACGCCGCGUGAGUGAAGAAGUAUCUCGGUAUGUAAAGCUCUAUCAGCAGGGAAGAAAGAAAUGACGGUACCUGAGUAAGAAGCCCCGGCUAACUACGUGCCAGCAGCCGCGGUAUUACGUAGGGGGCAAGCGUUAUCCGGAAUUACUGGGUGUAAAGGGAGCGUAGACGGUGAAGUAAGUCUGGAGUGAAAGGCGGGGGCCCAACCCCCGGACUGCUCUGGAAACUAUUUGACUGGAGUGCAGGAGAGGUAAGCGGAAUUCCUAGUGUAGCGGUGAAAUGCGUAGAUAUUAGGAGGAACACCAGUGGCGAAGGCGGCUUACUGGACUGUAACUGACGUUGAGGCUCGAAAGCGUGGGGAGCAAACA
rnacentral:rRNA from 1 species